AACGCCGGCGCUCCCCUGACCCCGCCUCUGCAGAGUCCAGGCUCCGCCUCUCGUGACAGGUGAGGCCGGUGUAUUCAAGGAGGAGGGCUCGCUUCUAUCGAUUCAGGUUGUCAGGGUGGCGCCCAGCCCGCUCUGCCGGCUUCGUCUUUUCCGGUCUCAGUCUGGCGUGGCAGUAGAGGCAGGCACUGUUAGGUCUUUCAGUCCCUCUUUGUCAUGGCGGCGCCCUACCUCUUUUUCCGGCCACGGCCUGUCAUGGCGGCACCCGCGGUUGUCCCUGCCAGGCCCAGCCUGCUCUGCUGUCCUGGCUCUUCCUAGUCCAGGUUGCCAUGGCGGCGCCCUGGGCUUACCGGAAGUAAAGCUUCGGAAGUGAGGCGUGCCUCUGCCCGGAAGUGAGCGCGGCGCUGGGAAAGAUGGCGGCAGCGGCGGCGGUUGGCAACGCGGUGCCCUGCAGGGCCCGGCCUUGUGGGGCCCGGCCUGGCGGGCAGCCCAAUCCCGGGCCGCAGCCGCGCGCGCUCCUUGCCGCCGGGCCGGCGCUCAUAGCGAGCGGUGACGAGCUGGUCGCUGCCGUAUGGCCAUACCGGCGGUUGGCGCUGCUGCGGCGCCUCACCGUGCUGCCAUUUGCCGGGUUGCUCUACCCGGCCUGGCUGGGCGCCGCAGCCACUGGCUGCUGGGGCUGGGGCAGCAGUUGGGUGCAGAUCCCCGAGGCCGCGCUGCUUGUGCUUGCCACCAUCUGCCUCGCGCACGCGCUCACUGUCCUCUCGGGGCAUUGGUCCGUGCACGCGCAUUGCGCGCUCACCUGCACCCCGGAGUAUGACCCCAGCAAAGCGACCUUCGUGAAGGUGGUGCCGACCCCCAACAAUGGCUCCACAGAGCUCGUGGCCUUGCACCGUGACAAGGGCGAAGACGGGCUCGAGGUGCUGUCCUUCGAAUUCCAGAAGAUCAAGUAUUCCUACGAUGCCCUGGAGAAGAAGCAGUUUCUCCCCGUGGCCUUUCCUGUGGGAAAUGCCUUCUCUUACUAUCAGAGCAACAGAGGCUUCCAGGAAGACUCAGAGAUCCGAGCAGCUGAGAAGAAAUUUGGAAGCAACAAGGCUGAGAUGGUGGUGCCUGACUUCUCGGAGCUUUUCAAGGAGAGAGCCACAGCCCCCUUCUUUGUGUUUCAGGUGUUCUGUGUGGGGCUCUGGUGCCUGGAUGAGUACUGGUAUUACAGCGUCUUCACGCUGUCCAUGCUGGUGGCGUUCGAGGCCUCGCUGGUGCAGCAGCAGAUGCGGAACAUGUCGGAGAUCCGGAAGAUGGGCAACAAACCUCAUAUGAUCCAGGUCUACCGAAGCCGCAAGUGGAGGCCCGUUGCCAGCGAUGAGAUCGUACCGGGGGACAUCGUCUCCAUCGGCCGCUCCCCGCAGGAGAACCUGGUGCCGUGUGACGUGCUUCUGCUGCGAGGCCGCUGCAUCGUGGAUGAGGCCAUGCUCACGGGGGAAUCCGUGCCACAGAUGAAGGAGCCCAUCGAAGACCUCAGCCCAGACCGGGUACUGGAUCUCCAGACUGACUCCCGGCUCCACGUCAUCUUUGGGGGUACCAAGGUGGUACAGCACAUCCCCCCGCAGAAAGCCACCACGGGCCUGAAGCCGGUUGACAACGGGUGCGUGGCCUAUGUCCUACGAACCGGAUUCAAUACAUCCCAGGGCAAGCUGUUGCGCACCAUCCUCUUCGGGGUCAAGAGGGUGACUGCAAACAACCUGGAGACCUUCAUCUUCAUCCUCUUCCUCCUGGUGUUUGCCAUUGCUGCAGCCGCCUAUGUGUGGAUUGAAGGCACCAAAGACCCCAGCCGGAACCGCUACAAGCUGUUUUUGGAGUGCACCCUGAUCCUUACCUCAGUGGUGCCCCCUGAGCUCCCCAUCGAGCUGUCCCUGGCCGUCAACACCUCCCUCAUCGCCCUGGCCAAGCUCUACAUGUACUGCACAGAGCCCUUCCGGAUCCCCUUUGCUGGCAAGGUUGAGGUGUGCUGCUUUGACAAGACGGGGACUUUGACCAGUGACAGCCUGGUGGUGCGUGGCGUGGCUGGGCUGAGAGAUGGGAAGGAGGUGACUCCUGUGUCCAGCAUCCCUGUAGAAACACACCGGGCCCUGGCCUCAUGCCAUUCGCUCAUGCAGCUGGACGAUGGCACCCUCGUGGGUGACCCCCUAGAGAAGGCCAUGCUGACGGCCGUGGACUGGACGCUGACCAAAGAUGAGAAAGUAUUCCCCCGAAGUAUUAAAACUCAGGGGCUGAAAAUUCACCAGCGCUUUCAUUUUGCCAGUGCCCUGAAGCGAAUGUCCGUGCUUGCCUCGUAUGAGAAGCUGGGCUCCACUGACCUCUGCUACAUCGCGGCUGUGAAGGGGGCCCCCGAAACUCUGCACUCCAUGUUCUCCCAGUGCCCACCCGACUACCACCACAUCCACACCGAGAUCUCCCGGGAAGGAGCCCGAGUCCUUGCGCUGGGGUACAAGGAGUUGGGACACCUCACCCACCAACAGGCCCGGGAGGUCAAGCGGGAGGUCCUGGAGUGCAGCCUCAAGUUCGUUGGCUUCAUCGUGGUCUCCUGUCCGCUCAAGGCUGACUCCAAGGCCGUCAUCCGGGAGAUCCAGAACGCGUCCCACCGGGUGGUCAUGAUUACGGGAGACAACCCACUCACUGCCUGCCACGUGGCCCAGGAGCUGCACUUCAUUGAAAAGGCCCACACGCUGAUCCUGCAGCCUCCCUCCGAGAGAGGCCAGCCGUGUGAGUGGCGCUCCAUUGAUGGUAGCAUCGUGCUGCCCCUGGCCCGGGGCUCCCCGAAGGCGCUGGCCCUGGAGCAUGCUCUGUGCCUCACAGGUGAUGGCCUAGCCCACCUGCAGGCCACCGACCCCCAGCAGCUGCUCCACCUCAUCCCCCAUGUGCAGGUGUUUGCCCGUGUGGCCCCCAAGCAGAAGGAGUUCGUCAUCACCAGCCUGAAGGAGCUGGGCUACGUGACCCUCAUGUGUGGGGAUGGCACCAAUGACGUGGGCGCCCUGAAGCACGCUGAUGUGGGUGUGGCACUCCUGGCCAAUGCCCCUGAGCGAGUCGUGGAGCGGCGACGGCGGCCCCGGGACAGCCCAACCCUGAACAACAGUGGCAUCAGAGCCACCUCCAGGACAGCCAAGCAGCGGUCAGGGCUCCCUCCCUCCGAGGAGCAGCUGGCCUCCCAGAGGGACCGCCUGAGCCAGGUGCUUCGAGACCUUGAGGAUGAGAACACGCCCAUUGUGAAGCUGGGGGACGCCAGCAUCGCAGCACCCUUCACCUCCAAGCUCUCGUCCAUCCAGUGCACUGCCUCCCCGCAACCCUGCAGUCUGCCACGUGAUCAAGCAGGGCCGCUGCACGCUGGUGACCACGCUGCAGAUGUUCAAGAUCCUGGCACUCAACGCCCUCAUCCUGGCCUACAGCCAGAGCGUCCUCUACCUGGAGGGGGUCAAGUUCAGUGACUUCCAGGCCACCCUACAGGGGCUGCUGCUGGCCGGCUGCUUCCUAUUCAUCUCCCGUUCCAAGCCUCUCAAGACCCUUUCCCGAGAACGACCCCUGCCCAACAUCUUCAACCUGUACACUAUCCUCACCGUCAUGCUCCAGUUCUUUGUGCACUUCCUGAGCCUCGUCUACCUGUACCGUGAGGCCCAGGCCCGGAGCCCCGAGAAGCAGGAGCAGUUCGUGGACUUGUACAAGGAGUUUGAGCCAAGCCUGGUCAACAGCACUGUUUACAUCAUGGCCAUGGCCAUGCAGAUGGCCACCUUCGCCAUCAACUACAAGGGCCCUCCCUUCAUGGAGAGCCUACCUGAGAACAAGCCCCUGGUGUGGAGUCUGGCAGUGUCACUCCUGGCCAUCGUCGGCCUGCUCCUCGGCUCCUCGCCUGACUUCAACAGCCAGUUUGGCCUCGUGGACAUCCCUGUGGAGUUCAAGCUAGUCAUCGCCCAGGUCCUGCUCCUGGACUUCUGCCUGGCGCUCCUGGCCGACCGCGUCCUGCAGUUCUUCUUGGGGACCCCGAAGCUGAAAGUGCCUUCCUGAGACGGCAGUGCUGGUACCCACUGCCCACCCUGGCUGCUGCUGGGCGGGAACCCCACCAGGGCCCCGGGAGGGAGCCCCGUCCCCAAUCCCCCACGGCAAGGCUGUACAGCCUCGCUCUUGGAAGACUGAGCUGGGACCCCCACAGCCAUCCGCUGGCUUGGCAGAGCCAGCCCCGAGCCAGCACCUUUGGUAAAUAAAGCAGCAUCUGAGAUUUUAAAAA